ACCACAUGUUCUGGUGCAAUUGCUUUGUUUUCUUUACCGUUAAAAUGGUUAUAAUCCCACUUAAAACACAGUGCAAUUCACUAUGCGAAAUGACCUCUCAUGCAAUCAAAUCUCCAUAGAACUUUGGUCAGUUUUUCUAAUUUUGGAAAUAAGGCCAAACUUUUGCCUUAGUAUCAAUAACAAGAAACACAAAGCACAACAAGAGCGAACACACAAACACUCUUAACAUCUUCAUCUAGAAAUAACCAGUAUAACUGUGACAAUUGUGUCUUCUUUCCUUUUGGACUUUUUUUGUCUACAUAUAAUUUGUUGAGCUUAUAUUUUGUAUUAUUACCACUAUCUUUUGUAAUUUUUGAUACUUAUUUAAGAAGCUUCAUUCUUUCUUUUUCUUAAUAAUCAUGGCCGUUUCAGAUCCUCCCAUUUCACAGAACUGAAAAAAGAUGAAAAUGUGAGCGAGCCCCUGAAAAUCUGGGGGGGGGGGUCUCUUUCCAUGUCUUUAAAUGCGUACGUAGAAAGGGAGCUGUAUUGCUUUUAGGCCAAAAUUUCAUCCGAGGAAAUGUACCCUCUUUAGGGGUACAUUCAAGGGAGCCCAGCACUUGUGAGCACGCACGGCGGCCAUGAGGUUUAACCACCACUCAGUCCAAACCCACAGAGCACGCGCACCCUCCUCCAGCCACGUAGGUGGGGAGAACUCGAGUGGGUGAAGGAAUCCGUGUGCGCACCCUUCUCCUCCUGUUCGCCCCGCCCUUUGGCCACACAGAAACGCUUCCAGGCCAACCGACGAGGAAGGCUAGAGGGACUCUGCUAGGAGGCUCUCCCUACACUUGCCAGAACUGAAAACGUAGGCAGGGGUUAAAAACUCAGUGCUCCAAAAACGCAAGACCCCGACCCGCCCACAUGGCCCCGACUCGGCCCUCGGGGACUCCCAGAUAACUGCCUGACGCCCGAGCCGGUGGUGCGGCAGCCACCAUUGCGCAAGUUCGAGCGCCCGGCUCUGGCUGCUCACAUGAUGGAGGAUGGGGAAGGUCCUCUGCACCAGAAAGGCCGCCUAUGGCACAGAACCCCUGCCCUACUUCCCCCAGCGUCAGGGAAAGGAAAGGCAAAGAAAGGAAAGACGAAGGAAGGAGACCUACCUAGCUGAGGCUGCGCGCCAGCGGGAAAGGUCCGACUACCUCUGAUCUGCGUUCUGGGGACGGCUGGACCCCAAUGCGCCCCCUGCGGCAACGCGACUCCCGCGUUGCCACAGGGUAGGCUGCCAUCCCUCCCUCCAUCUUCUGUGUCUCCUGUUCCCCAGAGGGGGUGGAAGCUGAAGGUUACAGUAUUGUAAGAAAAUAUAAGAGUGUGAUUUACAGUUGGUGUGGCCCUGUGGUGGUGUGGACCCAGACUUCAAGCACAGAUGAAGAUCAUACACUGAUUUACCACAUCAGAUAGGCUGUAUGAAACGUUAGGAUAGUAUUUCUCUCCUGCUGGUGGAAGAAAGAAGAAUUGAAGAACAAGGCAAAAACUCUGAUAGGAAACUAAAGUGCUUAUAUGUUACUGUCUUAUCAAUAUUGACUUUUAUUGGAGAUUAGAUUACUUUCCAGAAGUUUUAUAAAAUCACACAAGUUACUUUGGGACUUCUGAAGAAAUGUCUUAGGUCUUUCUGCUUCUAGAAUAGAUUAUAAGAGCUUGAACAGAAA
rnacentral:lncRNA from 1 species